UUAAGGCACCAUCCAGCUGGGAGACUGAAGAGAGCUCCCAGGGAGAAGAGAAAAGGGGAGGCUCUGGAGGAAACAGCUUUGCUGUAAGUGGUUAUGGAUGAUACCUGCAUUUGGGCCUCUCCUACAGGUUUCGGGGAUACAUUUCAAUGAAGAGGCUGCAGACAGAGGCUGACUGUUGGAACCCAAGCUGGAGUACCUGGAUGAUCUCAAGGAUGAUCCUCAUGUGUGUCAUGCCAACACAGAGCCAAGGGGAUGGAGCAAGGGGCUAGAGACCCGGAGCCUUGAGUUCCAGUCCUGACUUUGUCCUUAAUCGUGGCACGCAUUGUUUUCGUUCCAGUAUUCAGCGGUAUUAGGUCAGUCAGAAGAUCCAGAGUUCAAAGCACAAGAGGGAAGGCGAGUGGUGGCAGGCUGGAGUCUGGAGUCAGGGCCCGCUCGCGUUGGGCGUGGAUGUGGAGCUGUGCUCAAGUGGUCUCUUGUCUGCUAGAUCCCAGCGCAGAUAAGGAGGUUCCCACAGCUGAAGGAGAACAAGCCGUACAGUUAACAUCAAAGAAAGAGACCGGGAGGAUUAUGGGAGGUACAAGUUGCAGCGACAUGGUUCUGACAGGUUUGGUUAAAGUUACGGCAGCCGGGAAUCCUUCUCAAGGCUCGGGAGCCUAAUGCCGUUGGUACAGCGGUGCAUUUUCCCAUGGAGUCAGGCCCUUGAACAGUCAAUUCGUUUGAGGGUCUGAAAGACUCCAAACGACUUGGCAGCUUUAUUGAAGUGUUACCAUCCAAAAUAGACUUGGACCAAUUUUAAGAAAAAGCCGUUGCAUAGGCAUGCACAGACCUGGCUGUGCUCAACCGUCACUGCCUUACAAACUAGUGUCAACCUCAGCAACUGCAGCAUUUUGGGAACGGUGACCUCCUGGGUGCAAAGUGUCAUUCUGGCUGUAGCCGCAAAACAUGUUGGCGUCUUUAUCUUAAAUCGCUCGUAAGCCAAUUAGAUGAUUAGAUCAAGAGUAUGUGAUGCUCUUAAAAUUGGUGCGUAUAAGUCUCAAGCUAGCAGUUUUGUACCAGGGGCCGUGACAUCGCCUUUGGUAACAUUCAGCGGCAAGAGCUGACUUUGGUUAGUGACAUUUGUACUGAGAUUAGGCCUCAAAUACAAGCUAACAAGCUGACAGUCUAGUAAUUUGUCCUUGUAUACUGGUAUGAUUGCUGUCUUGACUGCAUGUACAGCUAACACAGACUUACUUGAUAGCCGUUGUCCAAUUAAUUAAGUAUGCUGGUAGCAACCGUAGGUAAUUAGCUAAUUUUUAUGGGCAAAGAUGCAUAUUGUAUGCUGCAGGGCAAAUUACUUGCAUUUUGACAUCUGAAAGGUUAACUUAACCCAAGUAUAGGUGACAAUUUCUGUUGUGCUGUUUAGCACUGCCAUUGUCCUGCAGUUUUUAUUCAGGCAAGAGACCUAUCAACUCCCACAGUUUGAGUGCGAGGAUAGUAGUAGUAGGAUUGGGUCCUACGUUGAACCUGCACCAACUGCAAAAGACUGUGCUACUUCAUUUGGUGGCAUCUGUUGGAGCAGAUUAUUUUUAAAAAGUCUAAAAAAAUUCCUAUAAAAUAGGAUUUAGCCAAGAAGCUUACUUUCCAAGCUGCUCCUUUUAAAGAUUGACAUGGUGUUCCUAGUUAGACGCAGAGGUAGCUGCUUUUGUUGGUUCAAUUCUUUCCUCUGCUUUUUUAUUUUCAGUGCAGAAAACGUAUGAAGAAUUCCCUCCCCGUUGGCUUUUGUUUCCUCUCCCUCCCUGCAUUUAACACUUCCUGCAUCUUGCUAUUCUUCCAAGUGCUUUGGGCUCAAAAUACACUGGUACAGGUCUUGUGAUUUCUGCAAGCUGUUGCAAUUUUGAGCUACGAUAAAACCUAGCUUUAGCUUUUGUGCGUGAAAUGAAGAAGCCUGAUCUCCUUUAGUAGUAAGGUUUCUCCCCUCUUCCUACCAGCCCCUGCUGCCUGACCCUGACUCCAUGUUUUAUACAUCCUCUGCAGUGGAAGAAAAUCAAUGGCAAGAAGUGAGACUUAAACUUGCCAAGUGUUAUGAACUAUUUUAUAUAAUGGUGGCAACUCCACCAUUCCCUUAUAUUUACGCUGAAGAAAACCGUGGCGGUCCAGACAACCGAGCAGCAUCCCAGAAGGAAAAUACUUGUGUCUCUUUGGCUUCUCCGAAUUAAACUAGUCCUUGUUCACCGGCAACUCGGCUUGAAAGCUUACGCACACCCACAUCGCUGCUCAGCAGAGAUGAUUUUCCUGCUUUGGACACUAACGAACAGCUGCCUAUGCCUACCCCAUCAGCAGCCAUCGCGGCACCAAAAUGCACGCUGCCAGAGUCCACAAUGGUCCCACGUGUCUAACCUUAACGUCUCACCAUAGAGGUCUGUUUCCUCCAGUAUCAUCUAAACACCCUGCCCGCCCCUCAGCAACCAAACAGCUCAUCAACUGGUCCUGCUCCAACAUUUCGGCCAUUUUUCUUCACUGGCACUUUCCCAUAUAAUAUGCAAGAACUGGUGCUUCAGGUAAAGGUUCAGACCCAUUAGAGAAAAUGACUUCCUUGAAAUUGAAUUAGACGGACAAGAAUUGACUUAUCAGGAUCUGCUCAGAGUGAGUUGCUGUGAAUUGGAUGUGAAUCCAGAGCAAGUGGAAGAUUAGGAAGUUACCUGAUACUCUAGUGAGAAAGGACAAAGAUGUUGCAAGACUUCAGGACUUCCAAGAACUGGAGCUGGUUCUAGUGCCGUGACAACUCUUUUAGAAACCCUGCAUCAACAUGACAAAGGCCUUGUUUGUGUAAAGCAUCCAAGCUUACGUACUGACCUUCCUCAGCAGAACGUGAACACUUCAAUCAUAUGCAACUGUCUCUUGAAGGGAGAGACCCACUGCUGCCUGCAACUAUGGACUACAAAUCCCAGAAACACCUGGAAGCAGGAAGAAGUGAUGAGAAUUCCUGCAGAGUCCUGCUGCUGUGAUUUUGGACUGUAAAUCCCAGACCCCAGGGGCAGCAGAAAGAGGAAGUGAACACAUAGCCAGAAAGCCAUGCUCUGGAACCCCCCAGCUUCUGGCCUGAGGCACUGCAGGCAUGCUGCUGCAUUUCCUGAAUCAAAGGUAAAUGUCUGUUCACUUCUGUUUCAAUUUAAUCUGUGCAGCUUAGACUAACCUGCAAAGACUGAACUGAUUCAGCCUCGGGGCUUUUUUGACCAUCUGUACCUAGCUCUACUGUCUGCUAAAGGGCAAACUUUACUAGACAUUUUAUCAACUUCGUGAUUUAGAGCCACACACUUUUAACUCACCGCUUUCUUCCCAUGCAGAUACACUGAAGGUAUUGAAACACUCUGGUAGGUAGACAGUAUUAUUUCCCUGCAUUCUGGCAGACAAUGAGCUCCUGAAGUUAGGGCAGACUAGGUGGAAGCCUUAGGCCUACGAUGCAAUGGUACUUUCUUCUGUUCAGCUGGAGGCUCCGUGACAUGGAAAUCUGACCCUUCCAGCUGCUACUUAUUCAUCUUCCUGAUAGGAAGAUGUAGUGUAGAGAUCUAUUAAUUCCUCUUCCACCUCUAAUUCCCUUAUGAAGCUGUGCUACUGCAGCUACUUUCAGGCAGCAUUUGGGUAUUUUUAUUAGUUAAGGCGCUACAAUUUUUUGGCAGAGACUUCAAUUUAUAAUACUGUAAAACAUAGUCCAAUUUAUUGCAGUCCACUGAGACAGCACUUUCCUUUGCAGUACCUGCUGCACUGUAUAAACCAAGGCUAUCUGUGCACAUUUUGUUAAAAGUAGGUAUUUCUGUAUUUGACUCACAAGCCUAAGACUAUAUGUGGGUGUGGGAUAGCACAGUGGAUUAACAAAGGGGACUAGUAACUUACUAAAACCAGCCAGCUUUUAAUUUAAGUGGUUCAAAACAGGCUACCACAUGUUCUAGAUUACUUCUGCUCCCCUCCAUCAUACAUGACUUUUUUGACAGAGCAGCAAGCACCCUGUCAAUCUGUGCAUCAGUACUACUUACAUAGUCUAACAACCAGAGUCAACAGAAAGCUGAGCUCCUUCAUCCACUACCCACAAGUCAUCCAGAAGUCCUCUCCUCCACUGGCCUGUUAUGCACUCAUAAGCUGGGUCAGCACCUGUAUACGUUUAGAUUUUUCAUCAAGCUGCAUUCAUUCCCCUGCCAGGAAGCAAGGGUUUAUCUUAGCAGUUACUAAUUAUGGCACAAACCCGACUCUAGUGAAAAGUGUUUUUUUAAAAAAUGUAUGAAAUAACUGUGGAACACUAAUAGCUAUAUGGUUUAGAAUUAAGGAUAUUUACACAUCUAGCUUUGCUUAGGAAAAUAAAAACAGUUGCCUUUUUUUUUUUUUUAAUAUUGCCUCUGUUAGUUACUGAAGAGGUUAGCUAUGGAACAAUUCCCAUGACUCUUUACAAAGAGUAACUAUUUAGCUUUAUAUUAUUUUAACACUAACGUCUACCACCUGUAACAAACUGUCGCUGAUAGUCAGUAUAUACAUUUAGAGAAAUAUUUUUAUGUAGUUUGAUCAGUUUUAAGGUGCACUAGCUAUAUUAACUACUAAUUCCUUUGAACUGAAUAAAGACUGUGAAUGAGAAAAGCAUCACUAAAGCUCUUAGUCAAUAUCAGCUGUUUCAAGCAAACAGAUUUGUACAUCUCUGUCCUUAGCCCUAAAUCUCUGGCUUUUAAUAUAAUCACCUUGGGGGUUAAUUAGUAGUAGAUGGUCUCAAACUUAAACACAAAAUGCCAAGGCUUGAGGCUACUCCCAAUGCUCAGCUUUAUUGUUGGGAUACUGCUCUGAACGCUUUCAAACAGCAGCUGAGAUUAACUUGUGAAAGCUCAUUAUUUACAAUCCAACAAGGGCUUUCACAAACCUAUUUCUGCAGUUAAUGUGAAAUUUGUGUUUCUACAAGGGAAGUCAGGUUCUGAACAAGAGGGCCCAGGUAAGAGAGAAAAGGUAAGAAAGAACUGGCAGCUAAGCCUUAAAAGAGACUGUAAGUAGCUCAGUAGCAGAACCAGAGUAUGGGUUUACCUCUUCAACACAACCUUUUUGCCUACGUAGAGCUGAGGAAGUUUCAAUACAAUUCUUACACAACAACCCUGAAAAGCUUUUAAGCCAAGAUUUAGAUGAUGACAUGUCACUACUCCAGGCAAGGUCUAAAGCUGAAGUAUCCUUAGCCUUGCUUUUCUCUGGAGUUGGAGGAGUAGUAGCCUUUGUCUGGCCAGUAGGGAUGUUCGUUACAAUCUGAAACAGACGCUGUUAAUGAAAUUCUAGUUGCUACUACACCAGUAGAUCAACUACUCAAUGUUAUUUUUUUCAUUUUUUCUUCAGCUUCAAGCCAGUAGCAAUUAUAUUUACUUCAAACAGCUACAUUCCCCUUUGACAGAGGUGCAUAUAGCUUAGAAACCAUGGGCAUUUUAUACGCAUACAUGUGUCUGCUCUGACGAGCUAGAAAUCCAGCACGUCAGAGCAGACUUGAUUAAUCUAGUCUGCUCUGCACGUGAGCUGAUGUGCCUGGCGCUGUGUCGUGUGCAUUUGUAUAAACAGCAAAAUGCACACGAGUGCUGAGAAAAUGGCAGCAAUGAGCUUUUGAACUCGCACACCUCUGAAGGGUUUUAGUUCAAAAGUGCGCUGCCGCCAUUUGCUCAGCACUGACACAAAUUUCACAAUCUAUACAAAUGUACGUGCCACAAAAGUAUAGAAAAUGCAGCGCAGAAGUGUACAAAUGCCCCAUGCUUUUAGCAGAAGUCAUUACAUUUCAACACCACCAUCCACGUGACAGUACACUGUGUACUGCGAUAGAAUUACUUGCCCUUGUGAAGGGUAAGAGCUUUUUAAAAUUAAUUUUAUGUCCUAGAUUGAAUAAUGGCCUACCGAUUUGCUAUAAUUUGACCCAAAAGCCUGAAAGUGCUGAAGUACAACUUGCAUUUUCAUGACUAGUUUUACAAGAUGUCAGAUCACGUUACCAAAUUCAACCUAACACCUUCUACUCCUAUGCAAAACAUGGUCUAAGCUAAGUUACAGCCCUGUUCUCCAGUGCCUCACACCUCGUUUAGCCAUUUAUAACCCAGCAAAGCAAAACACGUAGACUGAAAAAAUGCUACUAGCCCAACAGAGAGAUCAUGUAUUGUGGAAUGACUAAGGCAUUAGGACCUUUUCCACCAAAAUGACCAACACAGACCAAUCAUAUAUUGGAAUAACAUUCACUGGCUAUCUCCAAUUUCUGAGGACAGAUUGAUUUUGUUGAUAUAGCUGGUGAUGAUAUAGUUGGAGAUGCUCCUGCUCCGAGCAGGGGGUUGGACUAGAUGACCUCCUGAGGUCCUUUCCAGCCCUCAUUUUCUGUGAUUCUAUACGUCUGUUAUGAUUUCGAUUAGCGCACAACUUUUGGCUUCUGUGCCUGCAGCUCCAUACAGCUCCCUUCCUAUCUAUGAAAGAGUAUUUAAUCAUAGAAAAUCCAUUCAACUGAAUGUACAAGGAUAAAUACCAGGCAGAACAGACACUCUCUUGAAAGAUCUGAUCCACAGAAUGGAACAAUAUGGCACAAAAGUCAAAGAGCAGCAAUCAGAAACGGAAUCGUCUCAUGUUCCAUUUCAUUAAAGAGACCAAGUUACAUGAUGUCUGCAGCAAAUGUUUCCACAAAUAAUCCAAUUAACAGAGGCUCCAUAUUAACUUUCCCUAAAGACGCGUAUCAUGCUCCAUUAUCAACAUUCAGACCCAGAAUACACAAUACUAACACAAAGACUAAUCAAAUGGUUUUUACUUUGAACGCUGGAGCACUGCAAAGAUUCGACCCACCCCUUCCCCACCACCAGCCAACUGAGAUGAGCGCUGUUGCAAUACAACUUCACAGGCGAGUUUAGUGUGGAAAGGAACACACAUUCCAAACUACUUUAAUAUACAAAAUAUGUCCACUUAUUUUGCCUAAUUUCCAAUGAAGUGUUUGAAUUGCUGUUAGGAUGCAAACAUGGUAGCAGUACAGUACUGUAGGAAAAUAGACACCGGGACUGACAUUGCUUUAAUAUCUCAAUGUCCUUACUUUCUAUCACUCAGGAAACUGAAACCUGUAUUUGUGUUCUGAAUUUCCAUUCUGAUGAAGUAGGGGUAUAUACCUGAAGGUGGAGAGAAAGGGCCUCUUCAAAAAUUUUUCUAAUCUGCCUUAUUAGAGGGAAAUACACAGCCAUGUCUUGUACUUUAUUUGACUCCUAAGAAAAUAAAGUGUGACAAAAAUCCUGCAGCUUGUAAUAAUGUGUGACUGUUUAAGAAGUAACCAGGAGUUAGAAGGUACUCGCCUGUUAACAGUUAGUUUUUAGGGACAACUACAUUGAAAGAGUCAAAAAGGAAGAAAACCAGAAUAACUGACCAUCCAAAUUAAAGGAUAAGCUUGAAGACACAAAUAA